GACGUAGGGCGCGAGCGUUGUCCGGAAUUAUUGGGCGUAAAGCGCACGUAGGCGGCUUGGCAAGUCGGAUGUGAAAGCCCUCGGCUCAACCAAGGAAGUGCAUCCGAAACUGCUGAGCUUGAGUACCUAAGAGGAUCGCGGAAUUCCCGGUGUAGAGGUGAAAUUCGUAGAUAUCGGGAGGAACACCAGUGGCGAAGGCGGCGAUCUGGGAAGAUACUGACGCUGAGGUGCGAAAGCGUGGGGAGCAAACAGG
rnacentral:rRNA from 1 species